rnacentral:rRNA from 1 species
AGCGAACGCUGGCGGCAGGCUUAACACAUGCAAGUCGAGCGGGCGUAGCAAUACGUCAGCGGCAGACGGGUGAGUAACGCGUGGGAACAUACCUUUGGUUCGGAACAACACAGGGAACUUGUGCUAAUACCGGAUAAGCCCUUACGGGGAAAGAUUUAUACGCCCGAAAGAUUGGCCCGCGUCUGAUUAGCUAGUUGGUGAGGUAAUGGCUCACCAAGGCGACGAUCAGUAGCUGGUCUGAGAGGAUGAUCAGCCACAUUGGGACUGAGACACGGCCCAAACUCCUACGGGAGGCAGCAGUGGGGAAUAUUGGACAAUGGGGGCAACCCUGAUCCAGCCAUGCCGCGUGAGUGAUGAAGGCCCUAGGGUUGUAAAGCUCUUUUGUGCGGGAAGAUAAUGACGGUACCGCAAGAAUAAGCCCCGGCUAACUUCGUGCCAGCAGCCGCGGUAAGGCACGACUGU